CAGCAGCCACGGUAAUACGAGGGGGGCAAGCGUUACUCGGAAUUACUGGGCGUAAAGCGUGCGUAGGUGGUGGUUUAAGUCCGUUGUGAAAGCCCUGGGCUCAACCUGGGAAUUGCAGUGGAUACUGGGUCACUAGAGUGUGGUAGAGGAUAGUGGAAUUUCCGGUGUAGCAGUGAAAUGCGUAGAGAUCGGAAGGAACAUCUGUGGCGAAGGCGACUAUCUGGGCCAACACUGACACUGAGGCACGAAAGCGUGGGGAGCAAACAGGAUUAGAUACCCCGGUAGUCCCUGUCUCUUAUAC
rnacentral:rRNA from 1 species